rnacentral:misc_RNA from 1 species
GUAGGUGAACCUGCGGAGGGAUCAUUACCGAGUUCAUGCCCUUACGGGUAGAUCUCCCACCCUAUGUUAUUAUUACCUUUGUUGCUUUGGCGGGCCGUCAGAUCUCGGUCAGGCUACCGGCUCCGGCUGGUAAGCGCCCGCCAGAGGACCCCAAACUCUGAAAUUAGUGUCGUCUGAGUACUAUAUAAUAGUUAAAACUUUCAACAACGGAUCUCUUGGUUCUG